CUCCAGACUCCUACGGGAGGCAGCAGUGAGGAAUAUUGGUCAAUGGCCGGAAGGCUGAACCAGCCAAGCCGCGUGAAGGACGAAGGUGCCAAGCAUUGUAAACUUCUUUUGUCAAGGGACAAAAUCAGGCUCGAGAGCCUGACCGAGGGUGCUUGAAGAAAAAGCAUCGGCUAACUCCGUGCCAGCAGCCGCGGUAAUACGGAGGAUGCGAGCGUUAUCCGGAUUCAUUGGGUUUAAAGGGUGCGCAGGCGGGCCUUUAAGCCGGCGGUGAAAUCGCGGGGCUAAACCUCGUCGAGCCGUUGAAACUGGGUGCCUUGAGUGGGCGAGAAGUACGCGGAAUGCGUGGUGUAGCGGUGAAAUGCAUAGAUAUCACGCAGAACUCCGAUUGCGAAGGCAGCGUACCGGCGCCCAACUGACGCUGAAGCACGAAAGCGUGGGUAUCGAACAGGAUUAGAUACCCCGGUA
rnacentral:rRNA from 1 species